UACGAAGGGGGCUAGCGUUGUUCGGAAUUACUGGGCGUAAAGGGCGCGUAGGCGGCGUGUCAAGUCAGGCGUGAAAGCCCCGGGCUCAACCUGGGAACCGCGCUUGAGACUGGCAUGCUCGAGUUCGGGAGAGGAUGGUGGAAUUCCCAGUGUAGAGGUGAAAUUCGUAGAUAUUGGGAAGAACACCGAUGGCGAAGGCAGCCAUCUGGACCGACACUGACGCUGAGACACGAAAGCGUGGGUAGCAAACAGG
rnacentral:rRNA from 1 species